UUUUCCUAUGUGAUAGUAUAAAAAACGAGAGAAAGCAAAAAAUAUAUAAAUUGAUUUUUGGAAUUCUAUGAAUUGAUUUUUAAUCUGUGGAGCUUGAAUCGCGAUACAAAUGUGAAUCAAUUUUUUGCACACCCCUAAUUACAAAAAUUCAAA